GUGCUCGCUUCGGCAGCGCAUGUACUAACAUUGGAACGGUACAGGGAAGAUCAGCAGGGCCCCUGUGCAAGGACGGCACGCGAAUUCCUGAACUGUUCCAAAUAAAU
ensembl:snRNA U6 U6 spliceosomal RNA